AAAGUAACAAUAGGGCACCUCUCUCCUGGCAAGUAAAAAAUUAGUAUUUUUUGGAGCUACUUAUAAAGCUCAUAAUGAAUUAAUAACUUGCCAAAGGAGAGUUGCCCUGUGGUUUUUUU
rnacentral:pre_miRNA from 1 species